GACGGGAGCUUGCUCCCUUAGGUUAGCGGCGGACGGGUGAGUAACACGUGGGUAACCUGCCUGUAAGACUGGGAUAACUCCGGGAAACCGGGGCUAAUACCGGAUGCUUGAUUGAACCGCAUGGUUCAAUUAUAAAAGGUGGCUUUUAGCUACCACUUACAGAUGGACCCGCGGCGCAUUAGCUAGUUGGUGAGGUAACGGCUCACCAAGGCGACGAUGCGUAGCCGACCUGAGAGGGUGAUCGGCCACACUGGGACUGAGACACGGCCCAGACUCCUACGGGAGGCAGCAGUAGGGAAUCUUCCGCAAUGGACGAAAGUCUGACGGAGCAACGCCGCGUGAGUGAUGAAGGUUUUCGGAUCGUAAAACUCUGUUGUUAGGGAAGAACAAGUACCGUUCGAACAGGGCGGUGCCUUGACGGUACCUAACCAGAAAGCCACGGCUAACUACGUGCCAGCAGCCGCGGUAAUACGUAGGUGGCAAGCGUUGUCCGGAAUUAUUGGGCGUAAAGCGCGCGCAGGCGGUUUCUUAAGUCUGAUGUGAAAGCCCCCGGCUCAACCGGGGAGGGUCAUUGGAAACUGGGGAACUUGAGUGCAGAAGAGGAGAGUGGAAUUCCACGUGUAGCGGUGAAAUGCGUAGAGAUGUGGAGGAACACCAGUGGCGAAGGCGACUCUCUGGUCUGUAACUGACGCUGAGGCGCGAAAGCGUGGGGAGCGAACAGGAUUAGAUACCCUGGUAGUCCACGCCGUAAACGAUGAGUGCUAAGUGUUAGAGGGUUUCCGCCCUUUAGUGCUGCAGCAAACGCAUUAAGCACUCCGCCUGGGGAGUACGGUCGCAAGACUGAAACUCAAAGGAAUUGACGGGGGCCCGCACAAGCGGUGGAGCAUGUGGUUUAAUUCGAAGCAACGCGAAGAACCUUACCAGGUCUUGACAUCCUCUGACACCCCUAGAGAUAGGGCUUCCCCUUCGGGGGCAGAGUGACAGGUGGUGCAUGGUUGUCGUCAGCUCGUGUCGUGAGAUGUUGGGUUAAGUCCCGCAACGAGCGCAACCCUUGAUCUUAGUUGCCAGCAUUCAGUUGGGCACUCUAAGGUGACUGCCGGUGACAAACCGGAGGAAGGUGGGGAUGACGUCAAAUCAUCAUGCCCCUUAUGACCUGGGCUACACACGUGCUACAAUGGGCAGAACAAAGGGCAGCGAAGCCGCGAGGCUAAGCCAAUCCCACAAAUCUGUUCUCAGUUCGGAUCGCAGUCUGCAACUCGACUGCGUGAAGCUGGAAUCGCUAGUAAUCGCG
rnacentral:rRNA from 1 species